CCCUCGGAGUGGGGGAGUAACGUAGCGAAAGUUACGCUAAUACCGCAUACGAUCUAAGGAUGAAAGUGGGGGAGUUCGCAAGAACCUCAUGCUCCUGGAGCGGCCGAUAUCUGAUUAGCUAGUUGGUAGGGUAAAAGCCUACCAAGGCAUCGAUCAGUAGCUGGUCUGAGAGGACGACCAGCCACACUGGAACUGAGACACGGUCCAG
rnacentral:rRNA from 1 species